AUAUAAGAAAAGUACCUAAUACAAAUACAAAUAAUAGUUCCAGGGGCAGAAUAAAAAAACAAAAACAAACAAACAAACAAACAAUAGAUUAACAAGAGGAAAUACUCAUUACAUUUAAAGGAAAACAUACAAAAGAACACAUAUUUCUGCAUAGGCCCCCCCACACACAUAUUUACACACACAUUAUAUUUACAAACAGCACAAUGGUUGCAAUCAACACCCAGUGCUCUAUGGCGUCGCUCUCCUGAUGGAUAAACAUCAGUACAUAGUUUGUAAUGAACUUCUGAUACUCUUGGGAAAGUUCAAUACAGGGCAGUUGCGUUUUUUGAAGAUUUGUUCUGUAAUGUAAUGUCCCAUUUAGGGAAUAAUGCUUUAAGAAUUACCCCUCCUGCCUUUUAUUAUUUUUAGUAUCAGUAAUCCAUUGAUCAAUAAGCUGGGGUAUGAUGGGGUGCAUCCAGAAUAUUGUAUUGCAUUCCUAAUGAGAGAAACAAAAGGAACCGGUGUAGCCAUUACUACCUUCACAUUGGCUGUUACAAGACUUGUGACGUUUGCAAUCUGUUGUUCAGUAUGUCUUCCCCCGUGCUAUCCAUGUUUUUAAAUGUACGAGAAGUGUCGGUGGUACAGUAUACAUUACACCUGUCAAACAGGUUUUUUUCUUUCUUUAUGAAUUUCACGUGUCAUUUUUCAGAAGGUGGUGUUGCUGAUCCUAAACAACUAUCGUUAUGGCAACCACCAAUUACAUUACAGCAUUUGAAAUACGUCAACGCGCUCCAGAUUCAAACAGUCUUUAUAACAGCUGACUUGAUUUUUUAAACAAACCAGAAGCAACAACUUGCAAGACUUGUAACAGUCGGUACUGAACAUGAGCUCAGAGAAAUGUUUGCAGAAGAAUGUCAGUCCAACCCAACAGCCUCCUACACCAAGCAUAAUGAAACGGAAGAAAAUCCAAGAGACCAAUGUCUUCAGAAGCCCAACAGACAAUAUGGUGUCUCCCUGUACACGCAGACUCCUGAAGAAAACUGAUAAAUUUGUGAAUCCCAGCAAGACAUUUCCAGAUGUGCCUAAGUGUACUGUUGAGGAUAAAGAAAAUGCUUCCAUAAUGUAAAAUGGAGAGAGAGCCUUCAUCAACAGCCAAGCAUUAGCUGGGCUGGUUUCCUGGGUUCAGGGCGUUCUGCUUGUUUCAAGAGUUAUGCUGGGUCACUAGCGCUUAUGAUUAACUUUACUAUAGCGCACUGAACUGAUGGUAAGGCGGCAUUUGAUCUGAAAAUUAACAGGUGAUUCUGAGGUAAAUUUUUCUACCCUUGAUCUCAGCUUGAUACAUACUCAUAUACUAUGCCAUUGUUCAUAAGGCAAGCUAUAAAUACGGGGAGCAAAUAUAUUGUAGUAUAAAGUUAAAGGGGAUUUUGUUAUACAAAUCUUUUCCAACAAAUUGUUAAAAAGAGUAUGCAUUGUACAAGUUGUAAAGGCUGCUACACACCAGACAGGAUGUGACAAGCGAAACUGCAGCGAUGCGAGAAAAUGAAUGGAACCUGUACUUUUGACAGGUAUCUUUCAGGCGACGCGGGAACGACACCAGGGUGACACUGGAGCGACACGAAAUAAAUGGAAUUGAAUCCUUAUUUUUUGCAAUUUGUCGUGCAACAACUAGGGAAUUGGAGGAAAAAAUAAUGCCAUGAAAAAACACAGAGUUUUAUGCCAUACAUUUUGAAAUACAUUCAGAGAAGACACUCAUAAUUACUACAUCAUGUUGACAAAUAUGAACCAGUCUUGAUUAUAGUUUUGUCAGUAGGAUUUUUUUUUUUAAAUAGUUUUAUUGAUCUGGUAGUUUUCAAUCUGUCGCAUCGCCUCUGUCAUUUCUGGUGUGUACGGUCAUGUUGCUGUGAAAGUAUUUUAUCACCCAAUGAGAAGUGUCAUGUUUUUUUAUAAUGUAAAAUGUUAUUUUAUGUAAUAUAAAAUAACUCACCUUGUAUGAUGAUUUUAUAAACAUGUAUAUGGAGAGUUUACUGUAUUAUUUC